CCUACGGGAGGCAGCAGUGGGGGAUAUUGCACAAUGGGGGGAACCCUGAUGCAGCGACGCCGCGUGGGUGAAGAAGCGCCUCGGCGCGUAAAGUCCUGUCAGCAGGGAAGAAAAUGACGGUACCUGAAGAAGAAGCCCCGGCUAACUACGUGCCAGCAGCCGCGGUAAUACGUAGGGGGCAAGCGUUAUCCGGAUUUACGGGGGGGAAAGGGGGCGCAGACGGCGAUGCAAGCCAGGAGUGAAAGCCCGGGGCCCAACCCCGGGACGGCUGUUGGAACUGCGUGGCUGGAGUGCAGGAGGGGCAGGCGGAAUUCGUGGUGUAGCGGUGAAAUGCGUAGAUAUCAGGAGGAACACCGGUGGCGAAGGCGGCCUGCUGGACUGCAACUGACGUUGAGGCCCGAAAGCGUGGGGAGCAAACAGGAUUAGAUACCCGUGUAGUC
rnacentral:rRNA from 1 species